CGCGCUAUCUGCAGUCGAGGGGCAGCAUGACUGUAGCAAUACAGUUGAUGGCGACCGGCAAACGGGUGCGGAACACGUACAGAACCUUCCUUCGAGCGGGGAAUAGCCCAGAGAAAUUUGGAUUAAUACCCCAUAGUAUUAUGGAGUGGCAUCACUUUAUAAUUAAAGAUUUAUCACUUGAAGAUGGCUGUGCGGCUGAUUAGGUAGUUGGCGGGGUAACGGCCCACCAAGCCUGCGAUCAGUAACUGGUGUGAGAGCACGACCAGUCACACGGGCACUGAGACACGGGCCCGACUCCUACGGGAGGCAGCAGUAAGGAAUAUUGGUCAAUGGACGAAAGUCUGAACCAGCCAUGCCGCGUGGAGGAUGAAGGUCCUCUGGAUUGUAAACUUCUUUUAUAUGGGACGAAAAAAGGCUUUUCUAAGUCGUCUGACGGUACCAUAUGAAUAAGCACCGGCUAACUCCGUGCCAGCAGCCGCGGUAAUACGGAGGGUGCAAGCGUUAUCCGGAUUCACUGGGUUUAAAGGGUGCGUAGGUGGGUUGGUAAGUCAGUGGUGAAAUCUCCGAGCUUAACUUGGAAACUGCCAUUGAUACUAUCAGUCUUGAAUAUUGUGGAGGUCAGCGGAAUAUGUCAUGUAGCGGUGAAAUGCUUAGAUAUGACAUAGAACACCAAUUGCGAAGGCAGCUGGCUACGCAUAUAUUGACACUGAGGCACGAAAGCGUGGGGAUCAAACAGGAUUAGAUACCCUGGUAGUCCACGCCCUAAACUAUGGAUACUCGACAUACGCGAUACACUGUGUGUGUCUGAGCGAAAAGCAUUAAGUAUCCCACCUGGGAAGUACGAUCGCAA
rnacentral:rRNA from 1 species